rnacentral:rRNA from 1 species
UACGUAGGGUGCUAGCGUUAUCCGGAUUUACUGGGCGUAAAGGGUACGUAGGCGGAUAAGCAAGUUAGAAGUGAAAUCCUAUAGCUCAACUAUAGUAAGCUUUUAAAACUGCUCAUCUUGAGGUAUGGAAGGGAAAGUGGAAUUCCUAGUGUAGCGGUGAAAUGCGCAGAUAUUAGGAGGAAUACCGGUGGCGAAGGCGACUUUCUGGCCAUUAUCUGACGCUGAGGUACGAAAGCGUGGGUAGCAAACAGG